CCGCGUUCAUCAGGUGGUCGGCUGGUGCCUUGCAUGCGGACUGCUCCAAUCUGGAAUCGAAGCCAUUACAAUCGGAGGUCGUGUCUGUUCAAUUGGAGUUGUCGUAAACCACAUCUGCAAGGUAUCAGGCGGGGGGAGUAGGCCACAAAUAAGGCCCCACCUCCGGAUCCACCUCCGUAUCCACCUCCGUAUCCACCUCCACUUUCAGAGUCCAGGCCACCGUUACGAGGGCAGGACAAAUAAAAUUGUUUCGUCACGCCACCGCGAAGGUUGCCAGCCGCUGUCGGAAUGAGGCUGGCACACGCAAGACCAGACCAACCGCCAACCGCCUGGAACCACCCACAUGCAGCCACGGAUCCAUCCAUCCAACCAUCCAUUCAUCCAUCCCCCAGCCCUAACCCACUUUCCCUCACGUGCUCCACCUUUACGACCUGCUCAAACAUCAAGCUUAUUUAUUUACUCUAAAAACAAUACCGGAAAAUUAAUAGCAAUUUGUUGGGGUUCAUAAAUUUGUCGAAAUAAAUGUCCUUAACUGGCG
rnacentral:sRNA from 1 species